rnacentral:tRNA from 1 species
GACGAGGUGGCCGAGUGGUUAAGGCGAUGGACUGCUAAUCCAUUGUUCUCUGUACGUGUGGGUUCGAAUACCAUCUUCAUCG